rnacentral:tRNA from 1 species
UCCUGAUAGUUCAGUUGGUAAAGAAUCUGUCUGCAAUGCAGGAGAUCCUGGUUCGAUUCCUGGGUCGGGAA